rnacentral:rRNA from 1 species
AUGAACGCUGGCGGCAUGGAUAAGGCAUGCAAGUCGCGUGGGUUUAGGCCCACGGCAAACGGGUUAGUGAUGCAUAGGAACGUACCCUCUAGUCGUGAAUAAUUUGCCGAAAGGCAAGCUAAUACACGAUGUGCUCUACGGAGUAAAGAUUUAUCGCUAGAGGAGCGGCCUGUGUCCUAUCAGCUAGUUGGUGGGGUAAUGGCCUACCAAGGCAAUGACGGGUAGGGGGUGUGAGAGCAUGGCCCCCAACAUUGGAACUGAGACACUGUCCAAACUCCUACGGGAGGCUGCAGUCGAGAAUAUUUGUCAAUGGGCGAAAGCCGGAACAAGCGAUGCCGCGUGUGGGAUGAAGGCCCUUGGGUCGUAAACCACUUUUAUCAAAGAAAAACGCAAGUGAUUGUAUUUGGUGAAUAAGAGGUUACUAACUCUGU